rnacentral:lncRNA from 1 species
GUCCAAGAGUCUGAUCGUUUGUGGUGUUGACCAGCCCGGACCGAAUUUAAAAUGGGUGAUGUUGAAAAAGGCAAGAAGAUUUUUGUUCAGAAGUGUGCCCAGUGCCACACUGUGGAAAAAGGAGGCAAGCAUAAGACUGGACCAAACCUCCAUGGUCUGUUUGGGCGGAAGACAGGCCAGGCUGCUGGAUUCUCUUACACAGAUGCCAACAAGAACAAAGGCAUCACCUGGGGAGAGGAUACCCUGAUGGAGUAUUUGGAAAAUCCCAAAAAGUACAUCCCUGGAACAAAAAUGAUCUUUGCUGGAAUUAAGAAGAAGGGAGAAAGGGCAGACCUAAUAGCUUAUCUUAAAAAGACUACUAAUGAGUAAUUCCACUGCCUUAUUUAUUACAAAGCAAAUGUCUCAUGGCUUUUAAUGUAAACCAUAAUUUAAUUCAUACACCAAAUUCAGAUCAUGAAUGGCGAACAAUGUUUUUGUUGGACAGCCCCGAUUUAAGUAAAACUGACUUGUCAU